rnacentral:rRNA from 1 species
CCUACGGGGGGCAGCAGUGAGGAAUAUUGGUCAAUGGGCGUAAGCCUGAACCAGCCAAGUCGCGUGAGGGAUGAAGGUUCUAUGGAUCGUAAACCUCUUUUAUAAGGGAAUAAAGUGCGGGACGUGUCCCGUUUUGUAUGUACCUUAUGAAUAAGGAUCGGCUAACUCCGUGCCAGCAGCCGCGGUAAUACGGAGGAUCCGAGCGUUAUCCGGAUUUAUUGGGUUUAAAGGGUGCGUAGGCGGCCUUUUAAGUCAGCGGUGAAAGUCUGUGGCUCAACCAUAGAAUUGCCGGUGAAACUGGGGGGCUUGAGUAUGUUUGAGGCAGGGGGAAUGCGUGGUGUAGCGGGGAAAUGCUUAGAGAUCACGCAGAACCCCGAUGGCGAGGGCAGCCUGCCAAGCCAUGACUGACGCUGAUGCACGAAAGCGUGGGGAUCAAACAGGAUUAGAUACCCGGGUAGUC